ensembl:misc_RNA Y_RNA Y RNA
GGUUAGUCCAAGUGCAGUGGUGUUUACAACUAAUUGGUCGCAACCAGUUACAGAUUCCUUUGUUCCUUCUCCACUCCCACUAUUUCGCUUGACCAGCAAAA